rnacentral:lncRNA from 1 species
GGGUUUAUCUCUACUAAUUCGCGCUCAAAUCUUCUCUCUCAAAUUAACCUCCUCACGCUCUCCGAUUCCUUACUCUACCGCAUCUCCGCCGUUCUCCACCUGAUCUCCGACGUUCUCCACCGGAUCUCCGUGGUUCUUCACCAGAUGAACCGAUUACAAUAAAAGCCGGCAAAACGAGCGGGUCGGGUCGGCCUGGUGAUUGGUCACUAGUCAGGGGAUUCGGGUCAGUAUGAGUUCGGGUUAGGACAUGUUUGAGCAAAGGGUACUUCAGAAGCAAAAUGGUACCUGAAAUUACUGGCAUUACAUGUCUCACACUUGCAAUAAGGAUUGAAGAAAACCAGCUCUACAACAGCAUUCAACAUAAUUUGUAUAAUAUGGGAAGCAAUUAACAAUUAACUUAUGGUCAUUUUCAAGUGGGAGUUGAAACAGAAGUCUGGAAUGAGCCCACCUGGUGGUGGGUUCAAGCAAGAUGAUCCAAACCAGCAGAUAUUGUAAAGGACAUCUUUGUCGAAUAUGGAGUAUUGACAGUUAUUGUGCUCAUACCACUUCGAAUCCCAAGUGCUCUAUUAGCAGGCCAAAGGGAUGAGUGAGAAGAAUAUUCCACAGAAGGCAUGAAUCUAUUACCUGCCAAGCAGAGGAGAAAUAGUUUGAACUUGAUAUUGAGCGUUUUUUGUGGGGGAAAGACUCCUGCAAAACAUUGAUGAUUAAAAAUAUUCCAAAUGAUUAUGAUAGUAUCUGUAUUGUUUCUUUUAUCAUCUUAGAAUUAGUUUGAAUUAUCCUAAAGAAUUCCCACUAGUUUUGUAGUUAUUGAAUACACUUUAUUACUACAGGUACAGUUCAACAAUACUAUUGGCUGCAAUCAAUGAACUUAUGGUUUUAUAUACCUGUCUCUUGACUUCAAGGUAUGUUUUUUUAACAACCCAGUUUGGGUUGUGAAAACAAGAUGAAAACUUUGGACACCCUGCUACUGGACACUGCAGGUCCCGAUUUGUCUGACUUUACAAAUCCGGCAGCAGAGGCGGUGACUGCGACUCUGUAAUGCCAUUUCACAUGCGAAGCCAAUGUAACCGACAUUGAAAGAGCUUGGUGUUGGGAAUUUCGGAGUCGCAAGGUUGAAUAUAGUGAAUUGGCUGAUGCGGCGACAGUAAGGAGUAAGUGCAGGGAACAACUAUGAAGUGGGAAAUACGAUUGCUAAGAAAGAGUUAACACAAUGAAUAUUUUACUCGAAUGAAGAUUGUGAAAAAGAUUCAUGAACGCAAUGGAGUUUUGAGUUUUUGUUCAAACAUUUUUUGAAUGUUUGUUUUGUAUGUUCGAUAUUUAGACUUAGGUUGAGAUUUAUUAGUUAUUUCUUUGCAAACAUUUGGAAUCUUUGGAAGAUGAUUGAUUGAACUUUUUAAUUGAAUUGAUUAUAUUAUUAU